rnacentral:lncRNA from 1 species
UAAAAUAAACUGACAUAAAUCUGUAAAAGUAGGGCAGAAAACUCCAAAAGAAACAGCCCAAACGACAGUUGGAUUUUCAGAAAAUGAAAAGUCACCCAUAACUUUUACUAUAUCUGUUGAUAUGGAAGUGUAAUAAAAAUCACCAGUAUGUUCAACUGUAUAUAGAAAGAAAAAGAGGGCAGUGAUGUUAAAUUGCGAGGCUGUAGUUUGUACUGAAAUGGAUGGACGAACUGUCGCAGACAACCCACCUUGUGAACCUGCAAAAAGUAUAUGUAAUAUAGUUGCAUUCGGGACCAUCAUCAUGUGCGAAGAAAGUAAAAACCACCGUCGGAUCAACAUCGACCGGUGGUUUCGCUAAUGUCGUCGAUUAGCUGCUGCAAGUGCAUGACUUCCAUGAUGUAUUCACGUGCCGCGCUCCUCCCUAUAUAUGUACAUAUCGCUUGCAAAAUGUAUGUUUAAUACGAUCUGC